rnacentral:tRNA from 2 species
GGGGCUGUGGCGCAGUUGGGAGCGCGCAUGACUGGCAGUCAUGAGGUCAGGGGUUCGAAGCCCCUCAGCUCCACCA